GAUGAAGAACGUAGCGAAAUGCGAUAAGUAGUGUGAAUUGCAGAAUUCAGUGAAUCAUCGAAUCUUUGAACGCACAUUGCGCCCCUUGGUAUUCCAUGGGGCAUGCCUGUUCGAGCGUCAUUUGUACCUUCAAGCUUUGCUUGGUGUUGGGUGUUUGUCUCGCCUUUGCGUGUAGACUCGCCUUAAAAUAAUUGGCAGCCGGCGUAUUGAUUUCGGAGCGCAGUACAUCUCGCGCUUUGCACUCAUAACGACAGCGUCCAAAAGUACAUAUUACACUCUUGACCUCGGAUCAGGUAGGGAUACCCGCUGAACUUAAGCAUAUCAAUAAGCGGAGGA
rnacentral:misc_RNA from 1 species